CCUACGGGCGGCAGCAGUGAGGAAUUUUCGUCAAUGGGGGAAACCCUGAACGAGCAACGCCGCGUGCAGGAUGAAGGUUUUCGGAUCGUAAACUGCUUUUCUCUGGGACGAGAACGGACGGUACCAGAGGAACAAGCCCCGGCUAACUACGUGCCAGCAGCCGCGGUAAUACGUAGGGGGCAAGCGUUGUCCGGAUUUAUUGGGCGUAAAGCGCAUGCAGGCGGUGCACCAAGUUUGGAGUGACAGUUUCCGGCUUAACCGGAAAAGGAUUUCGAAAACUGGCGCACUUGAGGGCUUUAGAGGGAUGCGGAAUUCCAGGUGGAGUGGUGAAAUGCGUAGAUAUCUGGAAGAACACCAAAGGCGAAGGCAGCAUCCUGGAGAGUACCUGACGCUCAGAUGCGAAAGCUAGGGGAGCGAACGGGAUUAGAUACCCUGGUAGUC
rnacentral:rRNA from 1 species